rnacentral:rRNA from 1 species
GACGAACCGUGCGAACGUUGUUCGGAAUCACUGGGCAUAAAGGGCGCGUAGGCGGCUUGUCAAGUCAGGGGUGAAAUCCGGCAGCUUAACUGUCGAAGUGCCUUUGAUACUGACGAGCUCGAGGGAGGUAGGGGUCGCUGGAACUUCCGGUGGAGCGGUGAAAUGCGUUGAUAUCGGAAGGAACGCCGGUGGCGAAAGCGAGCGACUGGACCUCUUCUGACGCUGAGGCGCGAAAGCUAGGGGAGCAAACGGG